CCCUUAGAUGUUCUGGGCCGCACGCGCGCUACACUGAUGCAUUCAACGAGUCUAAAACCUGGUCUGAGAGGGCUGGGUAAUCUUUUGAAAGUGCAUCGUGAUUGGGAUAGAUGAUUGCAAUUCUUCAUCUUCAACGAGGAAUGCCUAGUAAACGCAAGUCAUCAGCUUGCAUUGAUUACGUCCCUGCCCUUUGUACACACCGCCCGUCGCUCCUACCGAUUGAACGAUCCGAUGAAAACUGUGGAUUGAGAGUCUGAGUGGGUUCGCCUACCUCAACUUUCGAGAAGCGGUUGAAAUCUUAUCGUUUAGAGGAAGGAGAAGUCGUAACA
rnacentral:rRNA from 1 species